UACGGAGGGGACUAGCGUUGUUCGGAAUUACUGGGCGUAAAGCGCACGUAGGCGGAUUUGUAAGUCAGGGGUGAAAUCCCGAGGCUCAACCUCGGAACUGCCUUUGAUACUGCAAAUCUCGAGUCCGGAAGAGGUGAGUGGAAUUCCUAGUGUAGAGGUGAAAUUCGUAGAUAUUAGGAAGAACACCAGUGGCGAAGGCGGCUCACUGGUCCGGUACUGGACGCUGAGGUGCGAAAGCGUGGGGAGC
rnacentral:rRNA from 1 species